AACGAACGCUGGCGGCAUGCCUAACACAUGCAAGUCGAACGAGACCUUCGGGUCUAGUGGCGCACGGGUGCGUAACGCGUGGGAACCUGCCCUUAGGUUCGGAAAAACUCCCCGAAAGGGGUGCUAAUACCGGAUAAUGUCUUCGGACCAAAGAUUUCUCGCCUUUGGAUGGGCCCGCGUUGGAUUAGCUGGUUGGUAGGGUAAAAGCCUACCAAGGCGACGAUCCAUAGCUGGUCUGAGAGGAUGAUCAGCCACACUGGGACUGAGACACGGCCCAGACUCCUACGGGAGGCAGCAGUGGGGAAUAUUGGACAAUGGGCGAAAGCCUGAUCCAGCAAUGCCGCGUGAGUGAUGAAGGCCUUAGGGUUGUAAAGCUCUUUUACCCGGGAUGAUAAUGACAGUACCGGGAGAAUAAGCUCCGGCUAACUCCGUG
rnacentral:rRNA from 1 species